rnacentral:piRNA from 1 species
UGCUCAACAGUCUCUAAGUUCGUUUAGGAA